rnacentral:rRNA from 1 species
AGGACGAACGCUGGCGGCGUGCCUAACACAUGCAAGUGGAGCGACGAACCAGGCUUCGGCCUGGGGCAGAGCCGCGAACGGGUGAGUAACACGUGGGUAACCUGCCCUGAUGAUUGGGACAACCCGAGGAAACUCGGGCUAAUACCGAAUGUGCCCUCGCGCAGACGUCGGAGAGGA